UUUUGAUUGUUGCUCAGAAAGCCUUUCAUAUAUUGUACGGUGGCUUUCUAGCAAUAAUCAUGACC
ncrna:Acyrthosiphon pisum (pea aphid) microRNA api-mir-315 precursor